rnacentral:rRNA from 1 species
UCAGCAGCCGCGGUAAUACGGAGGGUGCAAGCGUUAAUCGGAAUUACUGGGCGUAAAGCGUGCGUAGGUGGUUUGUUAAGUCAGAUGUGAAAGCCCCGGGCUCAACCUGGGAACUGCAUUUGAAACUGACUAACUAGAGUAUAGGAGAGGAAAGUGGAAUUUCUGGUGUAGCGGUGAAAUGCGUAGAUAUCAGAAGGAACAUCAAUGGCGAAGGCAGCUUUCUGGACUAAUACUGACACUGAGGUACGAAAGCGUGGGUAGCAAACAGGAUUAGAUACCCUGGUAGUCCACGCCGUAAACGAUGACAACUAGCCGUUGGGAGGGUUUACCUCUUAGUGGCGAAGCUAACGCGUUAAGUUGUCCGCCUGGGGAGUACGGCCGCAAGGUUAAAACUCAAAGGAAUUGACGGG